UACGGAGGGGGCUAGCGUUGUUCGGAAUUACUGGGCGUAAAGCGUACGUAGGCGGCUUUGUAAGUUAGAGGUGAAAGCCCGGGGCUCAACCCCGGAAUUGCCUUUAAGACUGCAUCGCUUGAACGUCGGAGAGGUGAGUGGAAUUCCGAGUGUAGAGGUGAAAUUCGUAGAUAUUCGGAAGAACACCAGUGGCGAAGGCGGCUCACUGGACCAAUACUGACGCUCAGGUGCGAAAGCGUGGGGAGCAAACAGG
rnacentral:rRNA from 1 species